UACGUAGGGUGCGAGCGUUGUCCGGAAUUAUUGGGCGUAAAGAGCUUGUAGGCGGUUUGUCGCGUCUGCCGUGAAAAUUCGAGGCUCAACCUCGAACUUGCGGUGGGUACGGGCAGACUAGAGUGUGGUAGGGGAGACUGGAAUUCCUGGUGUAGCGGUGAAAUGCGCAGAUAUCGGGAAGAACACCCGUGGCGAAGGCGGCUCUCUGGGACGGUACUGACGCUGAGGAGCGAAAGUGUGGGGAGCGAACAGG
rnacentral:rRNA from 1 species